UACGGGGGGAGCAAGCGUUGUUCGGAUUUACUGGGCGUAAAGGGCGCGUAGGCGGCCUGUGCAAGUCAGUUGUGAAAUCUCCGAGCUUAACUCGGAACGGUCAACUGAUACUGCUCGGCUAGAGUGCGGAAGGGGCAACUGGAAUUCUUGGUGUAGCGGUGAAAUGCGUAGAUAUCAAGAGGAACACCUGCGGCGAAGGCGGGUUGCUGGGCUGACACUGACGCUGAAGCGCGAAAGCUAGGGGAGCGAACGGG
rnacentral:rRNA from 1 species